rnacentral:rRNA from 1 species
UACGAAGGGUGCAAACGUUGCUCGGAAUUAUUGGGCGUAAAGCGCACGUAGGCGGCUCUGUAAGUUGGAUGUGAAAUCCCUCGGCUCAACCAAGGAAGUGCAUUCAAAACUGCAGGGCUUGAGUACUUAAGAGGAUCGCGGACUUCCCGGUGUAGAGGUGAAAUUCGUAGAUAUCGGGAGGAACACCAGUGGCGAAGGCGGCGAUCUGGGAAGAUACUGACGCUGAGGUGCGAAAGCGUGGGGAGCAAACAGG